GACUCUUUCUCCUUCAUACCCAGAAAGGCGAUGGCUUUGUGGAUGAGACUAGUCUGAAGAAACUUGUGGGUGCUAUUGAUGAAGAGAUCAAGAAAAGGUAGCAGCAAUAGUGGAGCUGGACAUGAGUGAGGUGCAAUGGAGGGUCAUGAGGAAGCGUGCAAGAACCUCAGCGGGAUGAUGAGAAGGGCUGAAAUGCUGCCAAACCAGGUCCUUUUCUGAUGGUGGCUGGGGCUUGGUUAGGGCUUGGGAGAGUAAAGAAAAAUAUAAUCUGC
rnacentral:lncRNA from 1 species